rnacentral:ncRNA from 1 species
AAUUAAAUGAAAAGAGCACGCUGUUGUAGGCCUUGAAAAUGAUGCACCUUAGGCAUGCGUCGCCCUCUUUUGAGAACCAUCCGUUGGCGGAAGACAUUGUCAGGUGGAGAGUUUGGCUGGGGUGGCACAUCUAUUAAAAGAUAAUGCAGGUGUCCUAAGAUGAGCUUAAUGAGAACAUAGAUCUCUUGUGGAACAAAAGGGUAAAAGCUCGUUUGAUUCUGAUUUCCAAUACGAAUACGAACUGUGAAAGCAUGGCCUAUCGAUCCUUUAGACCUUCAGAAUUUGAAGCUAGAGGUGUAAGAAAAGUUACCAUAGGGAUAACUGGCUUAUGGCAGCCAAACGUUCAUAACGACGUUGCCUUUUUAUCCUUCGAUGUCGGCUCUUCCUAUCAUUAUGAAGCAAAAUUCACCAAGUGUUGGAUUGUUCACCCACCAAUAGGAACAUAAACUGGGUUUAGACCAUCGUGAGACAGGUUAGUUUUACCUUACUGAUGAUUGUGUCACAAUGGUAAUUCAACCUAGUACGAGAGGAACCGUUGAUUCGUACAAUUGGUCAUCGCGCUUGGUUGAAAAGCUAAUGGCGUGAAGCUACCGUGCACUGGAUUAUGACUAAACGCCUCUAAGUCAGAAUCCGGGCCAAAAGCGACGUGUUGUCCGCCGCUCGUUAGCCGACCAGCAGUAGGGGCCCUUCAGCCCCCAAAGGCA